UUCGAGUGGCGGACGGGUGAGUAACGCGUGGGUAACCUGCCUUACACAGGGGGAUAACACCUGGAAACAGGUGCUAAUACCGCAUAAGCGCACAGGGCCGCAUGGCCCGGUGUGAAAAACUCCGGUGGUAUACGAUGGAUCCGCGUCUGAUUAGCUGGUUGGCGGGGUAAAGGCCCACCAAGGCGACGAUCAGUAGCCGGCCUGAGAGGGUGAACGGCCACAUUGGGACUGAGACACGGCCCAAACUCCUACGGAAGGCAGCAG
rnacentral:rRNA from 1 species